AUACUAUGUGGAUUGCAUAGCUCAUCUGAUUGAAUUCUGAAGAUAUAUAUAUCAUUGGUCUGAAGUAUCU